CGUGUAGGUGGUGGAUCAAGUCGAAUGUGAAAUCCCUUGGCUUAACCAAGGAAUUGCGUUCGAUACUAGUCUGCUUGAGUGUUGGAGAGGAAAGCGGAAUUCCCGGUGUAACAGUGAAAUGUGUAGAUAUCGGGAGGAACACCAGUGGCGAAGGCGGCUUUCUGGACAACUACUGACACUGAAACGCGAGAGCAUGGGGAGCAAACAGGAUUAGAUACCCUGGUAGUCC
rnacentral:rRNA from 1 species